AACUCGUACUGAGGGCACCUUCUGAAAAGCUCCUUGAAUCGUUUCCAAGCUGCACACAAGGUCUCUCCAUCAGAUUGGAUGAAAUUGGUGAUUUCAUUCACCAGCUU